GUUAGGGCACGACACCGGAGAGGGAGCCUGAGAAACGGCUACCACAUCCAACGCUGGCAGCAGGCGCGCAAAUUACCCAAUCCCGACACGGGGAGGUAGUGACAAUAAAUAACAAUACGGGGUUCUUUCGGAUCUCGUAAUUGGAAUGAGUACAAUUUAAAUCUCUUAACGAGGAACAAUUGGAGGGCAAGUCUGGUGCCAGCAGCCGCGGUAAUUCCAGCUCCAAUAGCGUAUAUUAAAGUUGUUGCAGUUAAAAAGCUCGUAGUUGAAUUUCGGGAUCGAAUUGUCGGUCGUGCUUCGGUACGCACUGGCAUUAUCGGUUCCUACCUUCUGAAGAACCGCGAUGUCAUUAAUUUGGUGUCGUGGGGAAUCAGGACUGUUACUUUGAAAAAAUUAGAGUGUUUAAAGCAGGCUUACGCUUGAAUACAUUAGCAUGGAAUAAUGAAAUAGGACGUUUGAUUCUAUUUUGUUGGUUUCUAGGAUCGACGUAAUGAUUAAUAGGGAUAGUUGGGGGCAUUAGUAUUCAAUUGUCAGAGGUGAAAUUCUUGGAUUUAUUGAAGACUAACUACUGCGAAAGCAUUUGCCAAGGAUGUUUUCAUUAAUCAAGAACGAAAGUUAGGGGGUCGAANACGAUCANAUACCGUCGUANUCUUAACCAUAAACUAUGCCGACUANGGAUCGGAUGAUGUUAAUUUUAUAAUGACUCAUCNGCGCCCUACGGGAAACC
rnacentral:rRNA from 1 species